GACGAACGCUGGCGGCGUGCUUAACACAUGCAAGUCGAACGGAAAGGCCUGCUUUCCCUUGUGGAUUGCGGGUACUCGAGUGGCGAACGGGUGAGUAACACGUGAGUGAUCUGCCCCCAACUUGGGUAUAAGCCUGGGAAACUGGGUCUAAUUCCCGAUAGGACUGCAGGGUGGUGCCUGUGGUGGAAAACGAUUUUCUAGUGGUUGGGGAUGAGCUCGCGGCCUAUCAGCUUGUUGGUGGGGUAAUGGCCUACCAAGGCGGCGACGGGUAGGCGGCCUGAGAGGGUGGACGGCCACAUUGGGACUGGGAUACGGCCCAGACUCCUACGGGAGGCAGCAGUGGGGAAUAUGGCACAAUGGGCGGAAGCCUGAUGCAGCGACGCCGCGUGGGGAAUGACGGCUUUCGGGUUGUAAACUCCUUUCGACCGCGAGGAAGCCACCUGGUUGGAAGGGUGGUGACGGUAGUGGUAGAAGAAGCACCGGCUAACUACGUG
rnacentral:rRNA from 1 species